UACGAAAAAUCCACUUACAGCCAAUUACCUUUGAACCUUGUGGUUUCUCGACCAAUGUCCAUGUCUCAUUUUGCUCGUGUGCUUUUAAUUCCUCUUCUAUUGAAUGUUGCCAUUUAUCUUUAUUUUUAGAUGAUAUAGCUUCAGAGUAUGUCUGUGGUACAUUUUCAUUAUCGGGAACUUCACCUGUACAGAGGAAUAUAUAUAGAGUUUUCAUCAGAAUGAAAUGAAUCAUCACUGCUCGUUACUGUACUUAUAUUAUUUGAUUGAGAACUAUCAGAUGAAGUUUCAUACAUCUCUGUGCUGUCCAAUAAAGGCUCUGUUUCAUUA